rnacentral:rRNA from 1 species
GACGAACCGAGCGAACGUUAUUCGGAAUCACUGGGCUUAAAGGGCGCGUAGGCGGGCGAUCAAGUCAGGGGUGAAAGCCCCCAGCUCAACUGGGGAAGUGCCUCUGGUACCGGUCAUCUCGAGGGAGGUAGGGGCGUGCGGAACUUCCGGUGGAGCGGUGAAAUGCGUAGAUAUCGGAAGGAACACCAGUGGCGAAGGCGGUUAGCUGGCCUGUAACUGACACUGAGGCGCGAAGGCUAGGGGAGCGAACAGG